rnacentral:rRNA from 1 species
UAGGGAAUCUUCCGCAAUGGACGAAAGUCUGACGGAGCAACGCCGCGUGAGUGAUGAAGGUUUUAGGAUUGUAAAGCUCUGUUGUUAGGGAAGAACAAGUACCGUUCGAAUAGGGCGGUACCUUGACGGUACCUAACCAGAAAGCCACGGCUAACUACGUGCCAGCAGCCGCGGUAAUACGUAGGUGGCAAGCGUUGUCCGGAAUUAUUGGGCGUACAGGGAUCGCAGGCGGUUUCUUAAGUCUGAUGUGAAAGCACCCGGCUCAACCGGGGAGGGUCAUUGGAAACUGGGGAACUUGAGUGCAGAAGAGGAGAGUGGAAUUCCACGUGUAGCGGUGAAAUGCGUAGAGAUGUGGAGGAACACCAGUGGCGAAGGCGACUCUCUGGUCUGUAACUGACGUUGAGGAGCGAAAGCGUGGGGAGCGAACA